AAUGAAAAGCCACUUGAUGUUGAAAAAGUGGAAACAAUAAUACAUUUAUUUAACCUGAGGAGAUACUUCAAUUUUGGGUUUGAAUUUUUAUAUUUUGAUCUGUUGAUCUUAAAAUCUUAAUCAAAUCAAAAUGUACAUAUGUCUAUUCUUCUUUUAAAUUAAUUGUCCUUUAGUCAGAUGUAGAAGCUAUACGUAUAAGCUCUGCAGUUAUUACUGUGAGUUGUGGUGAAGAUGACACCAGAAUUCCAGCUGUGUUAAUUCUUCUAGGACUGGUUUUCAUCUCCCCCUUUUUGCAGACAUAGCAAAAGAUUUAUUCCAGAACUACCCAGAGAGGUCACCACCUUACGUGGUUUGCAGGUCUAGUGUCUGCCGACCUAGUUGUAGGUCCAGAGCCAUCUGACAGCAGCGCAUCUGCAGGUGAAUCUUUGACUGCUCUGGACCUGGAGCUGAUGGCAACUGGAAUUUCCAUGAUACCAACAAUACCAUGUGUUGAUCCCUCCUUUAGAGUCGACUCUUGACCAAGGUCACAGCCUGGCAUUCCAGGGGCCAGGCGGAAGCAAAGCUAGUUCUUGUCUGUGACGUUAUCAGCUGCAGGUUACUUCUUAGAACCCCAUCUUACUUUCCAUAGUUAAAUAACUUAUCCCAGAGUUCCCUCCAUUUUCAUUUCAACUGGAAUAUGUCUCUUCCACCUUCUGGCAUUGGAAAACACUGCCAUGUCUCACAGACUGAAUCAUAGUCUCUAUUUUCAAGGGCAACCCAUGUGCUAGGGAAUUUCAUUGCCUUUGUUAAGUUAGUGGAAGGAAAACUAAUAUGUGCUUUAUUUUCUUUUAGGUAUGCACAAAUUUGACUGAUACUCUGAGGGCAGCUUUCUGAAUUGGAUUGAUUGAGAGGGUCCUCCUUGGAAGAGGAUAUGGAUGGGGGUUUGGUAAAAGGGGCAAAUGUCAAAUUCAUUUAAAUAUUUUAACAUUUAUCUUUAUCUUUCACACUUUUCUACUUAGAAUCAUAUAAUAUUAAAGGUGGAUUGAUCCAAGCCCUUAUUUUAUAAUAAGAAAACUGAGGCUCAGAGAGAUGAAGUGGCCGAUACUGCAAGGCUGAACAACCAGUGAUUGUCGGAGCAAAGGUCCCACUCAGACAUGCCUUUCACAUCAUUGGAUUUAAGAGCACAUUUUGCUCAUCGGCACUGGGAGCUUGGAAGGAGCAACUGCUGCCAUGUCAUACCUGCCUGCUUCCUCAGAACAAGUUGGUUCAAACCUCAGGUGGGAAUGAAAGCUGCCAAUGAACAGGAUUCUGCAAAGACCCCAACACUGCCUCCAGACAAGAAUACAUAAAAGUUCC